UACGGGGGGGGCAAGCGUUGUUCGGAAUUACUGGGCGUAAAGGGCUCGUAGGUGGCCAACUAAGUCAGACGUGAAAUCCCGAGGCUCAACCUCGGGUCUGCAGUCGAUACGAGCAAACUAGAGUGUUGCAGGGGAGACUGGAAUUCCUGGUGUAGCGGUGAAAUGCGCAGAUAUCAGGAGGAACACCGGUGGCGAAGGCGGCUUGCUGGGCCUUACCUGACGCUGAGGAGCGAAAGUGUGGGGAGCGAACAGG
rnacentral:rRNA from 1 species